rnacentral:rRNA from 1 species
CACGUAGGGGGCAAGCGUUGUCCGGAUUUAUUGGGCGUAAAGAGCUCGUAGGCGGCUUAGUAAGUCGGGUGUGAAACCUCCAGGCUCAACCUGGAGACGCCACCCGAUACUGCUGUGGCUAGAGUCCGGUAGGGGAGCGUGGAAUUCCUGGUGUAGCGGUGAAAUGCGCAGAUAUCAGGAGGAACACCGGUGGCGAAGGCGCCACUCUGGGCCGAAACUGACGCUGAGGUGCGAAAGCUAGGGGAGCAAACGGG